AACGAACGCUGGCGGCAGGCUUAACACAUGCAAGUCGAACGCCCCGCAAGGGGAGUGGCAGACGGGUGAGUAACGCGUGGGAACAUACCCUUUCCUGCGGAAUAGCUCUGGGAAACUGGAAUUAAUACCGCAUACGCCCUACGGGGGAAAGAUUUAUCGGGGAAGGAUUGGCCCGCGUUGGAUUAGCUAGUUGGUGGGGUAAAGGCCUACCAAGGCGACGAUCCAUAGCUGGUCUGAGAGGAUGAUCAGCCACAUUGGGACUGAGACACGGCCCAAACCCCUACGGGAGGCAGCAGUGGGGAAUAUUGGACAAUGGGCGCAAGCCUGAUCCAGCCAUGCCGCGUGAGUGAAGAAGGCCUUAGGGUUGUAAAGCUCUUUUGCCAGGGACGAUAAUGACGGUACCUGGAGAAUAAGCCCCGGCAAACUUCGUGCCAGCAGCCGCAGUAACAC
rnacentral:rRNA from 1 species